rnacentral:tRNA from 1 species
CGGUGUGCUGGUGGACCUGGACACCGCACGUCUGCUGGCGGCCGGCGCGGAGACCGGCGGCACGUUCCAGGUGUGGCUCGCCGCC